rnacentral:lncRNA from 1 species
AUUCACUUUACUUGUAUUGAUAGUCGUGUUCAAUUUAAAUACCAACUCUGUCAUUCCCGCAGCUCUUUCUCCUGGUGGGGGGUCUGACUGCGCAGACACCAGAUGAGGAUGGCAUCAUCCUGUCUGAACUGUACAACACCCCAGCAGAGGAUCUGCAAGAUGCUGUGGCGCCCGUGCGUGCCAAGCGCUUCUUUCUUGGCCAUCUCUUUAGGUUGGGAACUCGUAUAGCGGGCAAGAUCUUGCGUCAUUAUCCUCACCAGGACCAUAAAUAGGGAGCACUGCAACAGUAUCCCCCCUCACAUGUGCACCGCCACACCUGUGAGCCGACAGUGAAGCAUCGAGGCAUUUCAACUCCACUCGU